AUUGAACGCUGGCGGCAGGCCUAACACAUGCAAGUCGAACGAGUGGCGGACGGGUGAGUAAUGUCUGGGAAACUGCCUGAUGGAGGGGGAUAACUACUGGACACGAUCGAUAAUACCGCAAACCCACAGAUGUGCACAGAUGGGUUUCGAUAGUUGGGGGGGUAACGGCUCACCAAGGCGACGAUCCCUAGCGGGUCUGAGAGGAUGACCAGCCACACUGGAACUGAGACACGGUCCAGACUCCUACGGGAGGCAGCAGUGGGGAAUAUUGCACAAUGGGCGCAAGCCUGAUGCAGCCAUGCCGCGUGUAUGAAGAAGGCCUUCGGGUUGUAAAGUACUUUCAGCGGGGAGGCGUUACCCGCAGAAGAAGCACCGGCUAACUCCGUGCCAGCAGCCGCGGUAAUAC
rnacentral:rRNA from 1 species